GGCAGCCACCUUCCGCCUUCCUUUGAACCCACCACUCAAACGAUGGUGGAGCUUCGAAACUUCUCACCUACAAGCUCCAUUACACCCCUAAGAAUUCACCCAUGCGGUCGGAUUGGAGAAAGAAGCAGUGGGUGGGAGUCUGCCAUUGACGUCGGUGCCUUCUUCUCCGUUUGUGCCACACCUGAGUCAAGCCAACGCAGCAAACAUCAGAACCGGCCGGGUAGUACAGGUGGCUUAAGUGAUAUGCAUGUUCAGACUUGAUAAGAAGCAGGGUACGAUCACCAGGAAUGCUUGACUGUAUGCUUGGAGGAGCUGUGUGAUCUUGCGGCUUAUAUUUAUAUGAUUUCUAUUAUUUCUCAUGUAUUAGAUCAUGUAAUUCUUGUACUCGUUAAAUUCAGAGACAUUGGUUUGUAUAA